rnacentral:rRNA from 1 species
AUUGAACGCUGGCGGCAAGCCUAACACAUGCAAGUCGAACGAGUGGCGGACGGGUGAGUAAUGUCUGGGAAACUGCCUGAUGGAGGGGGAUAACUACUGGAACCGGUAUCUAAUACCGCAUUCCCUCGGAUGUCCCCAGAUGGGAUUAGCUAGUAGGGGGGGUAAAGGCUCACCUAGGCGACGAUCCCUACCCGGUCGGAGAGGAUGACCAGCCACACUGGAACUGAGACACGGUCCAGACUCCUGCGUGAGGCAGCAGUGGGAAAUAUUGCACAAUGGGCGCAAGCCUGAUGCAGCCAUGCCGCGUGUAUGAAGAAGGCCUUCGGGUUGUAAAGUACUUUCAGCGGGGAGGCGUUACCCGCAGAAGAAGCACCGGCUAACUCCGUGCCAGCAGCCGCGGUAAUUC